UACGUAGGGUGCAAGCGUUAAUCGGAAUUACUGGGCGUAAAGCGUGCGCAGGCGGUGAUGUAAGACAGGUGUGAAAUCCCCGGGCUUAACCUGGGAACUGCAUUUGUGACUGCAUCGCUGGAGUGCGGCAGAGGGGGAUGGAAUUCCCGGUGUAGGAGUGAAAUCCGUUGAUAUCGGGAGGAACACCAAUGGCGAAGGCAAUUUGCUAGGCUGAUUCAGACACUGAGAUGUGAAAGCGUGGGGAGCGAAUGGG
rnacentral:rRNA from 1 species